CCUACGGGAGACUGCAGUGGGGAAUAUUGGGCAAUGGGCGCAAGCCUUACCCAGCAAUACCGCGUGAGUGAAGAAGGCCUUCGGAUUGUAAAGCUCUUUGCUCAGGGACGAACAGAUGAAGGUAACUGAAGAACUAGCCCCGGCUAACUACGUGGCAGCAGCCCCCGUUAAACGUAGGGGGCGAGCGUUGCACCGGAUGACUGGGCGUAAAGGGUGCGUUGGGGGCAUAAGCAGGUAGGAGUUGAAUACCAUGGGCUUAACUUGUGUGCUGCAUCUAAGACUGUUGGGCGUGAGUGCGGGAGAGGUUAAUGGAAUUCCUAGUGUAGCGGUGGAAUGCGUAGAUAUUAGGAGGAACACCAGAGGCGAAGGCGAUUAACUGGACCGUAACUGACGCUGAGGCACGAAAGUGUGGGUAGCAAACAGGAUUAGAUACCCCUGUAGUC
rnacentral:rRNA from 1 species